ensembl:misc_RNA Y_RNA Y RNA
GGCUGGUCUGAAUGUAGUGAGUUAUCUCAAUUGACUGUUCUGUCAGUUACAGAUUGCAGUCCUUGUUCUACUUUUUCCCUGCUUCUCAUUACUGCACUUGACUAGUCUUUA